rnacentral:rRNA from 1 species
AUUGAACGCUGGCGGCAUGCUUUACACAUGCAAGUCGAACGGUAACAGGCCGCAAGGUGCUGACGAGUGGCGAACGGGUGAGUAAUGCAUCGGAACGUGCCCAGUCGUGGGGGAUAACGCAGCGAAAGCUGUGCUAAUACCGCAUACGAUCUAUGGAUGAAAGCGGGGGCCCGUAAGGCCUCGCGCGAUUGGAGCGGCCGAUGUCAGAUUAGGUAGUUGGUGGGGUAAAGGCCUACCAAGCCAACGAUCUGUAGCUGGUCUGAGAGGACGACCAGCCACACUGGGACUGAGACACGGCCCAGACUCCUACGGGAGGCAGCAGUGGGGAAUUUUGGACAAUGGGCGCAAGCCUGAUCCAGCAAUGCCGCGUGCAGGAAGAAGGCCUUCGGGUUGUAAACUGCUUUUGUACGGAACGAAACGGUCUGGGUUAAUACCCUGGACUAAUGACGGUACCGUAAGAAUAAGCACCGGCUAACUACGUGCCAGCAGCCGCCGUAAUAC